UGGCAUCUCUGUGCAGCUCUCUUCCUCCGGGACGUGGGGCAGGACCCUCUGCAAUGGGGGUCUCCGAGGGAGAAUGGGUUUAGUUUGUCUCUUGAUUGCAGUAGCUGCGGAUGGGGCGGAUGGAGCGCAGGGCCCCAGGGACGCUAGACUGCCCCGCCGCUGCGCUCACCCCAGCCCAGGAGAAGGUUCCGUGGCUGGCGUUAGGGGAGAGGAGUUCUGGUUCCUGGGACCCGCUGGGGGUGAGGAAUUCUGAGUCCUGUGACUUACUCGGGUGAAGGGCUAGAGAGAGGCUGGGUGUGGUGGCUCAUGCCUGCAAUUCCAGUCUGGGGCUGGGGAUGGGGACCGCAGGGCAGGUGCAAGAGAGGCCUUGCUUCCCUCCCAGCGUCCUCCAGUCCCAAGAGCUCAGAGUGCCAAGGAGUGCCAUAGUUGGGGGGAUCAAGUUCUGAGUCCCAACAUAAGAGGGAAACUGAGAAUGCGAGGGUGUUUGCAAAUGUGGAAGUGUCCAGGACAGUGCCCAGGACAGUGCCCAGCACCGCUUCCGCUUCCCCUCUCCCACCAGCAGAGCAAAGCACAGCCCCGAGGUGAAGGCUGUGGGCCAGGGUGGGGCUCAGCGGGGAGCCCUCGCCUAGCAAGGAGGGGCCCUGGGUUCCAUCCCCAACACGAAGAGAAGAAAAGAAGAAAGAAUUCAGGGCUGAAAGAAAGCUGUGCUGUGCCCUUCUGAACUGGCUUCAUGGCCACCACCCUCCCAGGGGACUUCCUCCUCCCCAACACGACAGCACAGUUGAAAAUUCCAGUAGCUGUUUAUAAGGCAGCAUCUGCAGGGAUUCAGCAGGUACCUGGGGGACACCAGGAAUGUUGGCUGCUUCUCUCCACACUGCCCCAAGGGGGGACAGGGCCCCAGGAGCUCCCUGUCCACCCCAGGCUAACCUGAGUCUGAGAGCUGCAGCCGGCAGGGACCUGGCGGCCUGGGGAUGGAGCCGAGGGCCUCACACCAGCGAGGCCGCACCCCCAGCAACGGCAGUUUGGUUUUUCUCUGUAAAUAGUGAGCAUCUCAACAACCAAUUUUGUCUUCAUCAAGCCCCAGGGCUGAGCACGCACAAAUUGGCCCCUGGGGAAGUUUUCACCCCGUGGAAGGGAAAGAAAAAAAACACAGCCACUCAACAAGGAACCUGAGAAACCCGUGAGUGGAAGGCAGAAAAGGCGGAGAAGGGCGGGGGUGGAAGAGAACCCUCAGCCCCGGCCCCCCCCCUUUCCUUAUCUGAGGAUCAGAGACUGGGCUGGAGCUAAAGUCCACUGGCCAGAACAAAGAUUCCUACUCCCUCCCCACCCCCAAAGCAGAAGAGGAAAAAAAAAAAAAAAAAA